AACGUACGCUGGCGGCACGCCUAACACAUGCAAGUCGAACGAAGUAGCAAUACUUAGUGGCAAACGGGUGAGUAAUAUGUGGGAAUCUGCCUUUCGGUUUGGAAUAACACGAGGAAACUUGUGCUAAUACCGGAUAAGCCUUUACAGGGAAAGCUUUAUGCUCCGAUAGAUGAGCCCACACUUGAUUAGUUAGUUGGUAAGGUAAAAGCUUACCAAGACAAUGAUCAAUAGCUGAUUUGAGAGGAUGAUCAGCCACAUUGGGACUGAGACACGGCCCAAACUCCUACGGGAGGCAGCAGUGAGGAAUCUUGCACAAUGGGGGAAACCCUGAUGCAGCGAUGCCGCGUGAGUGAAGAAGGCCCUUGGGUUGUAAAGCUCUUUCGUCGGGGAAGAAAAUGACUGUACCCGAAUAAGAAGGUCCGGCUAACUUCGUG
rnacentral:rRNA from 1 species